GACGAACGCUGGCGGCGUGCCUAAUACAUGCAAGUAGAACGCUGAAGGAGGAGCUUGCUCUUCUGGAUGAGUUGCGAACGGGUGAGUAACGCGUAGGUAACCUGCCUGGUAGCGGGGGAUAACUAUUGGAAACGAUAGCUAAUACCGCAUAACAGUAGAUGUUGCAUGACAUUUACUUAAAAGGUGCAAUUGCAUCACUACCAGAUUGACCUGCGUUGUAUUAGCUAGUUGGUGGGGUAACGGCUCACCAAGGCGACGAUACAUAGCCGACCUGAGAGGGGGCUCGGCCACACUGGGACUGAGACACGGCCCAGACUCCUACGGGAGGCAGCAGUAGGGAAUCUUCGGCAAUGGACGGAAGUCUGACCGAGCAACGCCGCGUGAGUGAAGAAGGUUUUCGGAUCGUAAAGCUCUGUUGUAAGAGAAGAACGAGUGUGAGAGUGGAAAGUUCACACUGUGACGGUAUCUUACCAGAAAGGGACGGCUAACUACGUG
rnacentral:rRNA from 1 species